rnacentral:rRNA from 1 species
UACGGGGGGGGGCAAGCGUUGUUCGGAAUUACUGGGCGUAAAGGGCUCGUAGGUGGCCAACUAAGUCGGACGUGAAAUCCCUCAGCUUAACUGGGGAACUGCGUCCGAUACUGGAUGGCUUGAGUUUGGGAGAGGGAUGCGGAAUUCCAGGUGUAGCGGUGAAAUGCGUAGAUAUCUGGAGGAACACCGGUGGCGAAGGCGGCAUCCUGGACCGGCAUUGACGCUGAGGCGCGAAAGCCAGGGGAGCAAACGGG